UACUUACUUCAGAAGCAUGUAGCCUAAACUGGAGCCAUAGAGGGCAGAUUAGCAAGGUCCCUACCAAGGAUGAUAUGCAAAUUCAUGAAGCACCCCAUGCCUUU